CUGGAAUGGCUUUUGCCUGGGGGUUGGCCUUGGCCCAUCAUAGAAAGGCUGUUGCGUAGAUGAUGUUGGCAGAGCUGGAAAGCCACCAAUCUGAUCAUCGUCAUCCUCCUCCUUUUCAAGUAGAUUGGAAUUAGCUUUUAUCAUUCCAAUAUCUAAUGAGUUAUCAUCAUCAUCAAUUAUUGCCCGUCUUGGAUGGCCUGAUGUUGGCAUAAGGUCAUCAUCAUCACCAUGAUCUUCAUUAGCUCCGGUGUUUGGGGAAGAUGGUGGUUCAAUCAUAUCUCCAUUUAAAUAGUCAUCAUCAUCUCCAUCAAAGAGAUCUUCAUAGUCUUUUGUAACAGUACUGGCAACCUUGUCAUUUGGUUUCUUCCCAUCACCAAUAUCUUCCCACAAUCCCAGAUUUCCUUCAGUAUCUGUAUAAGCUAUUUGCUCAUAUCUGGGAUGCCAUGCCAGUCCGCAAAUUGAAUAACUUUUCUCAUGCUUCAUCCUCUCUGUGCACUCCCGGGUUUCCACCUUCCACACCACUAUACUUCCAUUCACACUUCCAGCUG
rnacentral:lncRNA from 1 species